GGGAAGGUGGCUCAGUGGUAGAGUGCUUGCCUUGCAUGCAUGAGACCCUGGGUUCGAUUCCUCAGC
rnacentral:tRNA from 1 species